UUGAUCCUGGCUCAGAUUGAACGCUGGCGGCAUGCCUUACACAUGCAAGUCGAACGGCAGCACGGGUGCUUGCACCUGGUGGCGAGUGGCGAACGGGUGAGUAAUACAUCGGAACAUGUCCUGUAGUGGGGGAUAGCCCGGCGAAAGCCGGAUUAAUACCGCAUACGAUCUACGGAUGAAAGCGGGGGACUUCGGGCCUCGCGCUAUAGGGUUGGCCGAUGGCUGAUUAGCUAGUUGGUGGGGUAAAGGCCUACCAAGGCGACGAUCAGUAGCUGGUCUGAGAGGACGACCAGCCACACUGGGACUGAGACACGGCCCAGACUCUACGGGAGGCAGCAGUGGGGAAUUUUGGACAAUGGGCGAAAGCCUGAUCCAGCAAUGCCGCGUGUGUGAAGAAGGCCUUCGGGUUGUAAAGCACUUUUGUCCGGAAAGAAAUCCUUGGCUCUAAUACAGUCGGGGGAUGACGGUACCGGAAGAAUAAGCACCGGCUAACUACGUGCCAGCAGCCGCGGUAAUACGUAGGGUGCAAGCGUUAAUCGGAAUUACUGGGCGUAAAGCGUGCGCAGGCGGUUUGCUAAGACCGAUGUGAAAUCCCCGGGCUCAACCUGGGAACUGCAUUGGUGACUGGCAGGCUAGAGUAUGGCAGAGGGGGGUAGAAUUCCACGUGUAGCAGUGAAAUGCGUAGAGAUGUGGAGGAAUACCGAUGGCGAAGGCAGCCCCCUGGGCCAAUACUGACGCUCAUGCACGAAAGCGUGGGGAGCAAACAGGAUUAGAUACCCUGGUAGUCCACGCCCUAAACGAUGUCAACUAGUUGUUGGGGAUUCAUUUCCUUAGUAACGUAGCUAACGCGUGAAGUUGACCGCCUGGGGAGUACGGUCGCAAGAUUAAAACUCAAAGGAAUUGACGGGGACCCGCACAAGCGGUGGAUGAUGUGGAUUAAUUCGAUGCAACGCGAAAAACCUUACCUACCCUUGACAUGGUCGGAAUCCUGCUGAGAGGUGGGAGUGCUCGAAAGAGAACCGGCGCACAGGUGCUGCAUGGCUGUCGUCAGCUCGUGUCGUGAGAUGUUGGGUUAAGUCCCGCAACGAGCGCAACCCUUGUCCUUAGUUGCUACGCAAGAGCACUCUAAGGAGACUGCCGGUGACAAACCGGAGGAAGGUGGGGAUGACGUCAAGUCCUCAUGGCCCUUAUGGGUAGGGCUUCACACGUCAUACAAUGGUCGGAACAGAGGGUUGCCAACCCGCGAGGGGGAGCUAAUCCCAGAAAACCGAUCGUAGUCCGGAUUGCACUCUGCAACUCGAGUGCAUGAAGCUGGAAUCGCUAGUAAUCGCGGAUCAGCAUGCCGCGGUGAAUACGUUCCCGGGUCUUGUACACACCGCCCGUCACACCAUGGGAGUGGGUUUUACCAGAAGUGGCUAGUCUAACCGCAAGGAGGACGGUCACCACGGUAGGAUUCAUGACUGGGGUGAAGUCGUAACAAGGUAG
rnacentral:rRNA from 1 species